rnacentral:rRNA from 1 species
ACAUGCAAGUCGAGCGGAGAUGAGGUGCUUGCACCUUAUCUUAGCGGCGGACGGGUGAGUAAUGCUUAGGAAUCUGCCUAUUAGUGGGGGACAACAUUUCGAAAGGAAUGCUAAUACCGCAUACGCCCUACGGGGGAAAGCAGGGGAUCUUCGGACCUUGCGCUAAUAGAUGAGCCUAAGUCGGAUUAGCUAGUUGGUGGGGUAAAGGCCUACCAAGGCGACGAUCUGUAGCGGGUCUGAGAGGAUGAUCCGCCACACUGGGACUGAGACACGGCCCAGACUCCUACGGGAGGCAGCAGUGGGGAAUAUUGGACAAUGGGGGGAACCCUGAUCCAGCCAUGCCGCGUGUGUGAAGAAGGCCUUUUGGUUGUAAAGCACUUUAAGCGAGGAGGAGGAGCUCUAGAUUAAUACUCUAGAUGCUUGGACGUUACUCGCAGAAUAAGCACCGGCUAACUCUGUGCCAGCAGCCGCGGUAAUACAGAGGGUGCAAGCGUUAAUCGGAUUUACUGGGCGUAAAGCGUGCGUAGGUGGUCUUUUAAGUCGGAUGUGAAAUCCCUGAGCUUAACUUAGGAAUUGCAUUCGAUACUGGGAGACUAGAGUAUGGGAGAGGAUGGUAGAAUUCCAGGUGUAGCGGUGAAAUGCGUAGAGAUCUGGAGGAAUACCGAUGGCGAAGGCAGCCAUCUGGCCUAAUACUGACACUGAGGUACGAAAGCAUGGGGAGCAAACAGGAUUAGAUACCCUGGUAGUCCAUGCCGUAAACGAUGUCUACUAGCCGUUGGGGCCUUUGAGGCUUUAGUGGCGCA